AAGUUAAGAAAAAAAUAUUGGUAUGAUAUCUCUUUUUCUUUUCCUCCAGAUCAGUUCAUUCAGUUUCUGAUUAUCAUUGCUAAAACAAGUCUUUAUUAUUUACAGUUAACUGGGAAGCUUUUAGGGAGGAGAAGCUGGGAAAUAUUCUUGGGGGGCAGGGAUCUUUUGGCACAAAGGGAGCAGGAUGGAGCGACUUGGAACUGUGGGAAGAGCACUAGUCAGCCAUUGUUUAUUCUCUGCAACAACAUUAUGCCCCUGGUGUCCAGCUGCAAACCUGCUUUAAAAGAGAUGCAUGAGAAAAUACAUAUGAGGGUGAUGUCACUGUCCUGUUCCAGGCAAAAGAAUUCUGGGGAAGUACUAGACUCUUGUAUUCUCUGACUAGAUCUCUGUAAGCAUAGCUACUGAGCUGCUAAUCAGAUACAUUCUUCAGGAGUUUGCUCCCUAGGAGUCUGACUUUUUAUUUUUAUUUACUUUUUAAUAUCAUCUAACUAGGUUGAAGCACAUUCCAUGGACAACUGCACUAUUGGUAUCUUGGGGUCUUUUUUGAAACAGCAUCUUGUAAAUUUUUAAGUACAAAAAUUCUGAUUUAGGAAUUGAUACUGUUAAGAUACAUCCUGCUAUAAAAAUACUCUUUUGAUCUGAAUAUUGUGCAUGUUUUUAGAAAAGUACAGUGUACAGUAACAGUAUAACAGAACUCUUAAUGAUAUCCUAAUUAUUUACAAAUGUUAAGUUUCAGGAAAUACUUUUUUCAGAUCAUGUAUAUUUAAUUUAUUAAAAUUUGAUUAUAUACUGGCACACAAAGCUUUCAGAAUUUAAUUUUGCCUUUUUAAGUCAACCAGAAGGAGUAUAGAAAUGAAUAUUCAGAUGUGACAAGAUCUUAUAUUUACUUUGUCUAUUCAUUGGUGAAAUAUUAGUGGCUGUUUGGAAUUGUACUGUUUGCCCAUGCUUCUGAUCCAGCAUGCUGCCUAAGUUUUUAGGCUUUGUAUACUAUAGCCUGUUGAUCUUCAUCCUCAGUGUUGUUAACUGUUGAUCUUACUAAUAUUUUUUCUCUGAGCAUCUGGAUCACUGUAUUUUUGCAUAACUUAAUGUAGAAAUUGAACCUGACCUUUCUCCCUCCCAUGUUUACAAACAAUUGCUCUUUCUGGUUAUCCUAUUGCAAUAUUAGCUAUGAUUUUCAGCCCUUUAUGGAGGAAGGAGGUAAAAAACUCAUCUCUUGUGGGUAGUUUGAAAAAAGUGAAAAUCUUGUUCUUUAAAGUGCUAAGCAUCUUAAAAUAUGAAUUUGUAAAUUAGUCUGAGAAAUACCCUGUAAUUUAGACUAAGAUGUUGUCACUGUUUAAUUGAAAAAAAUAUUGUAGUGAUUUUUUCACAAGAAAUGUCU
rnacentral:lncRNA from 1 species